UGGGGAAUAUUGGACAAUGGGCGCAAGCCUGAUCCAGCCAUGCCGCGUGGAUGAUGAAGGCCCUAGGGUUGUAAAGUCCUUUUAACGGGGAAGAUAAUGACGGUACCCGUAGAAUAAGCCCCGGCUAACUUCGUGCCAGCAGCCGCGGUAAUACGAAGGGGGCUAGCGUUGCUCGGAAUUACUGGGCGUAAAGCGCACGUAGGCGGGUUGUUAAGUCGGGGGUGAAAUCCUGGAGCUCAACUCCAGAACUGCCUUCGAAACUGACGAUCUUGAGUUCGGGAGAGGUGAGUGGAACUGCGAGUGUAGAGGUGAAAUUCGUAGAUAUUCGCAAGAACACCAGUGGCGAAGGCGGCUCACUGGCCCGAUACUGACGCUGAGGUGCGAAAGCGUGGGGAGCAAACA
rnacentral:rRNA from 2 species